CACCAAUUCCAUCAUUAUAACCUUAUUGCAGUCUUGGCGGAUGGCUUGUGUGACCUUUGAAGAACUGUUGCUUUGACAGGGGGCAUAGUGCUCACUCUAGUUUUACUAUUCAAUCCCUGCUCUACACCUAGAGCUUGUCAGUGGCGCGCUUCCUUGAUGACUCCGACAAUCUGGAAGCAGACUGUGUAGAGCAAAGGCGAGGCAGCCGUUUGCUUUUUCUUUUCCGCUUCACCUCAUUAUCAUGUUGAACUAGUUACCUUGACCUUUCUCUAAUGCGUCCCCGAGAAGGUGUGCCCGAAUGAGGGGCGUGGCAAACUCUGUGAGAAGACUGUAGGCUGAGCUCCUGCGUCGUCGGAACCCCUUGCCGCCUCUGGUCAUCUGUAGAGCUUUUGUUCUGAUGAGCGCAGUUGUAACCUGCUCGCAACUCGUUCCGUUUACCGUCAGGUCAGCUUGUGUGGACCAUCAUGCCAAACCCACUGAGUAUCUCUCCACUUUGUGUGAGUGAAUUUGUUGUUUUGUACACUUUAUUUUGUCCUCCAAAUAAACCAACCAGUGAGACCAUUUUGCUGGAACAUUAAGCUCCUGUCACGAGUAGAGUAAAUUUACAUAUAUCUACUGCCCUCCCCCCUUCAAUUCUGCUCAGUAUUGAAGAGAGCUGAGGCACCUCUAGCCCAGUUCAUCGGCAAAGGUGAGAAGAAUCCUCCAGGAGAACUCUGAAUAGUAACACCCAUAUAACUCAGCCUUCUCUCAUCCCCUCAUCCUACCGGGUUCUAAACAAAAGAAACUUUCAUUUUUAUUUUAAAAAAAAGUAUUUUUAAAGUUUGCUUACAGGGGGUUGGAGAGAUGGCUCAAUGGUCACAUGCAGAACACUGACUGCUCUUCCAGACGUCCUGAGUUCAAUUCCCAGCACCCACAUGGUGCCUCACAAGCAUCCAUAAUGGGAUCCGAUGCCCUCUUCUGGUGUGUCUGAAGACUGCGACGGUGUACUCACAUACAUUAAAAAACGCCUACAGGCUGGUGAUAUUUCUUAGUGGGUAGAGGCACCUGCCACCAGUUCUUGGCAUCCACCUGGUAUGAAGAAAUAACUGAUUCCCUCAAACUGAUUUGAGCACUGCCAUGAGCUCCCCCAAAAGUCAAUAAAUGAAUGAGUA
ensembl:lncRNA